CUAGUACUCCCUCCGUUCGGAAAUACUUGUUCUAGAAAUGGUUGUAUCUAGACUUGUUUUAAUUCUAGAUACAACCAUUUUUAAGACAAGUAUUUUCGAAUGGAGGGAGUAGCAU
rnacentral:pre_miRNA from 1 species